UGUGAGAGGAGUGUCUGACUGUU
rnacentral:miRNA from 1 species